AACGAACGCUGGCGGCAUGCCUAACACAUGCAAGUCGAACGAGACCUUCGGGUCUAGUGGCGCACGGGUGAGUAACGCGUGGGAACCUGCCCUUAGGUUCGGAAUAACUCCCCGAAAGGGGUGCUAAUACCGGAUAAUGUCUUCGGACCAAAGAUUUAUCGCCUUUGGUUGGGCCCGCGUUGGAUUACCUAGUUGGUAGGGUAAAGGCCUACCAAGGCGACGAUCCAUAGCUGGUCUGAGAGGAUGAUCAGCCACACUGGGACUGAGACACGGCCCAGACUCCUACGGGAGGCAGCAGUGGGGAAUAUUGGACAAUGGGCGAAAGCCUGAUCCAGCAAUGCCGCGUGAGUGAUGAAGGCCUUAGGGUUGUAAAGCUCUUUUACCCGGGAUGAUAAUGACAGUACCGGGAGAAUAAGCUCCGGCUAACUCCGUG
rnacentral:rRNA from 1 species